rnacentral:rRNA from 1 species
ACGGGUGAGUAACGCGUGGGCAACCUACCCUGUACACACGGAUAACAUACCGAAAGGUAUGCUAAUACGGGAUAAUAUAUUUGAGAGGCAUCUCUUAAAUAUCAAAGGUGAGCCAGUACAGGAUGGACCCGCGUCUGAUUAGCUAGUUGGUAAGGUAACGGCUUACCAAGGCAACGAUCAGUAGCCGACCUGAGAGGGUGAUCGGCCACAUUGGAACUGAGACACGGUCCAAACUCCUACGGGAGGCAGCAGUGGGGAAUAUUGCACAAUGGGCGAAAGCCUGAUGCAGCAACGCCGCGUGAGUGAUGAAGGCCUUCGGGUCGUAAAACUCUGUCCUCAAGGAAGAUAAUGACGGUACUUGAGGAGGAAGCCCCGGCUAACUACGUGCCAGCAGCCGCGGUAAUACGUAGGGGGCUAGCGUUAUCCGGAUUUACUGGGCGUAAAGGGUGCGUAGGCGGUCUUUCAAGUCAGGAGUGAAAGGCUACGGCUCAACCGUAGUAAGCUCUUGAAACUGGGAGACUUGAGUGCAGGAGAGGAGAGUGGAAUUCCUAGUGUAGCGGUGAAAUGCGUAGAUAUUAGGAGGAACACCAGUUGCGAAGGCGGCUCUCUGGACUGUAACUGACGCUGAGGCACGAAAGCGUGGGGAGCAAACAGGAUUAGAUACCCUGGUAGUCCACGCUGUAAA